GAUGAACGCUAGCUACAGGCUUAACACAUGCAAGUCGCAGGACUGGCGCCCGGGUGAGUAACGCGUAUCCAACCUUCCCAUAACUACGGGAUAACCCGUUGAAAGACGGCCUAAUACCGUAUGGUUAUGGAUGGGGAUGCGUCUGAUUAGCUUGUUGGCUGGGUAACGGCCCACCAAGGCUACGAUCAGUAGGGGUUAGGAGAGGAAGGUCCACUGCAUUUGAGAUGAGACACAGUCCAAACUCGUAGGGGAGGCAGCGGUGAGGAAUAUAAGUCAAGCGGGGAGAGCCUGGACCAGCCAAGUAGAGUGCAGGAGGACGGCCUAUGGGUUGUAAACUGCUUUUAUGUGGGGAUAGGUACCACAUGAAUAAGGACCGGCUAAUUCCGUGCCAGCAGCCGCGGUAAUAC
rnacentral:rRNA from 1 species